rnacentral:piRNA from 1 species
UUCCGUGAUCUUGGUUUCCUCAAAUUGU